GAAGAGGGCGCAAACUCAUCUGAGAAGUAAUUGCGGUUCUUCAUGCAAGGCAAUUCUAUUUCAACUGCACAACUCCACAUCGGUCUCGACAAGAGUUGUGUAGAACAAAAACACCACUCCAACAGAGCAUUGGCCAUUCACAAGCAAGGACAAUGGGAGAUCAAUCUGGGUGCCCAGUCCUUGCACACCCAAAGCGCCAAGGCAGGGACCUCGCCCUUCUCAUCACCAUCAUAUGGACAUCAAGCAAGUUGUAGUUGUUCUCUUCCCAAGCUCAUUAACUUCAAGAUGCGCAAUGAUGCCACCAAGUUUACCAAGACCAGUCUUAAAGGCCAUGGCUUCCAACAGAGUCUUGUUCUAUGAGGAUGAGUUAUGCAAUGCGGUUACCCAGAAUAAACUCUGUUAGACUGUGUUCUGUUUAUUGGAAAAUAG